GUCAUUCUAUUUUUACUUUUUUUUUUUUGCAGAACCUGAUGACUGCACCAAUCUACAUUUCUACCAAUGGUGAACUAAAGGACUUUCUCUCAUGGUGGUCUGAAUAGGGUGAAGAGAUGAGGACAGACAGACAUAUUUGGGAGAAAUUUAUGAAAUAAAAUCUAUAGGACUUUAUGAUGAAUCGGAAAUGAAGGUAUGAGAGAGAGGGAAGUUUAGAGACUUCCAAGUUUGAUCUUGAAUUACAUAUUCAAAAAUGGAUGGAUGUGUUACACAUUGAACUUGGGAACCCCUGAAAAUAACAGGGAGUCCUGGGAAGACCAUGGCCAUUGAAUCUGGACUGACUGUAUUUUAGAUGUUUAAGCGAUAAUAUUAAAGAAAUGAGUUGCCAGGUGCAGUGGUGCACACCUGUAAUCCCAGUGGCUUGGGAGGCUGAGGCAGGAAGAUCACGAGUUCAAAACCAUCCUCGGCAAUUUAAUGAGACCCUGUCAAAAAAAAAAAAAAAAAAGGACUGGGAACGUGGCUCAAUGGUCAAAUGCCACUGGGUUUAAUCCCCAGUACCAGUAAAUAAAUAAAAUAAAAAGUCUGCAGAUAUGUGGUGUUGGACCAGUAUUAGUGAAAAAGUGUAUGCAUCUGAAGGCAAUUGAAACAGUGGCUGCAGAGGCAGAAAAUGGCAAUCUAGGGACUGAAAUCUUCUUUAGUGAAGGAUGAUUAGUGAUUAAGUUUGUAGAGGACUGGGUUUCUGGUCUGCCAGCCUAACCACAAAUUUCCCUCUCACCAGCCUCCAUGAUUGCAUGAGCCAUUCAGCCAUUGCUUAAAGUAAAUGUGUGUGUGUGUGUGUGUGCUCCUCAUUGACACUUUCAGCUCUUUACUCAUUCAUCCUUUCCCAAGCCACAAAAAGCCCUCUGUUGCCUUCUCAGUCAUUCUGACCCUCACUGGAGAAGCUUCUUUGAGGGGAGUGUGUAGCCUAGCUGAGGACUAGGCUUGGAGGAAUGCAGGGUUUAGUCCUUGGUGUCUUUUUGUGUUUACCUUUUGGCUGAUUGGACGAGGCCCACUCACGCUAUUGAGGGUCAUCUCUUUAUAGAAAAUCAAAUGCUUAUAGAUGUUUAUUCCAUCUACAAGAUAACUAACUACACAGAAGCAGUUAGCUCAGGGUUUCAGCCACUGGGUACAAUAGCCCAGCCAAGUUGACAAAUAAAACUAACAACAGACGGUGGGGACAAUUGGGAAGGUGGAGUCCUGGAACCUGGGAUUUCAGUGAAGACCAGAGAGAAAAAGGAACACCUUGAUAAAUGUGAAGAUCCAGGGGAAAGUGCUGGGGAGUGAUAUUAGCCAAAUUAUAUUGUUAUAUUUUGUGCAUAUAUGAAUAUAUUAACAAAUCCCACCAUUAUGUACAACUCUAAUGCACUAAUAAAAUUUUUGGAAAAAAA
rnacentral:lncRNA from 1 species